GCCUGCUGUUGUUAUAAGGAGAUACAUGUGACAGCAGGCAUGCCUGCACACAGAAGAAAGACCACGUGAGGAUACAGUAGGAAGGCAGUCAGUCAUCUGCAAGCCAAGGAGAGAGGCCUCAGGGGAAACCAAACCUACCAACACCUUGAUCUUAGACUUCUAGCCUCCAAAGCUUGUUGGGAUAUACAAUCUCCAAAAUCCUGCCUGCUCUGACAUACACACCGUGGAAGCUGUAGCAUCACUUUGCUUCAUGAAUCCUCUGGGAUUGGAAAUUCUUUAUAAGACUGUAUUAAACAAACACAACUCUUUCUGAAUCCUGCAAAACGAAACUGGACCUGGGACAAGUAUUUUAACACAAAGUUCUAUUUGUCCUCAAUCUUGUUUGGCCCUGACCAAAUGUAGGGUGUGAUUUUUUUCUUCUCCACUCCUUCUUACACAAGGCAAGACCUACUCAAACUCCAGGUUUUCAACAGGUGGGUGAGCUGAACAGAUUAAGUACCCACUAAGAUCAAGUUUCUUCCUUUCAACUUAAACUUCAGGACUGAACUCUAACUGAACUGCAGACGAGCAAGCAUAGGAAUGUGUAUGGAAUAUGAGCCACUUUGAUAUUGAAGUUGGCAUGCAGCAAAAGCUGACUAAAUACAUCUCCCUGAAGCAGAGGUCCACACAAAACAAUUUGGGAAAAUGAGCUCUAAAAGCCUUCAAAAGACCUCUUUCUACCUACCAUAAUUAACCAGUGUUUAAGAAAACAUGGCAGCCUUUUAGAUGUAAUAUAAUUUUACAGUUUUCAUUGUGAUUCCCAUAUUUAUAUUCCACAUAAUAGAGUGAGUUAGGAUGGACGGCCCCAUUACCCAACCAAAGGGGGACUUGGAGAGCCAAUAAUUGGCAGAGAUGUCAGUGGGACCCAGGUCUCCCAAAUCCUAGCCUGGGUGUUUUUCCACUAAACUUGGUCUUCCUCUUAGUUUUUAUAAGAAGCCCUUCAAGCUCUUGCACAUAUUUAGGUCAAAAUUACUACUUUCAGACCUAUUGUCUGAUUUGGAAGGAAAUCUUGUAAUUACAGGAUGACUUCAAAACAAUAUUCAAUUGCAUAAUAGGAGUGUGGGUUGCAUGUUUUGAGCAUUAAUAAUACUAAGAAGCCUUCCAUUUAUUUGGUUGAACAAAAAUAGUAAUCCAAUGUCCACUACCCAAAAUGGCCCAAGUAACUAUAAAAGCUACUCUAAAGGGAUGAAGAGCUGUGGGAAAUGACUAAAUAGCACUGAAAGCAGUACUCUGCUCUUUAAAAGUUCAAAAAUUAGGCAAUCUGGGUGAGAGAAAGAUGUGAUCUAAAGGAAACAGGACACAGCCCUGAACAAAUUCCAGAACUCAUAAUGUGGUCAGGUUAUACAAUCAAGUGCUAAAACCAAUUUUGGGGCAUUGCUUUAAAAAGCAUUCCUGUUGAACCCAUUUGAGGGCAGGUGGCCUCUUCAGUAUGGCCUUGCACUUGUGUAUGGCACCUGCCCUUGGCCCCAGGCACAGUGUACACUCCUUUGGUGUUGCAAGUGCCUGCCACAGAGAUCCCAGGUGGCAUUCAAGGGAUGACUCAAGGUCCCACCCAUUAAAAAUAUACCUUCCACAUGGCACUGCCUUACCCUUCGUGUAGAAGUGGAAAUAGUACAGCAUUUCUGAAGGGCACUUUGACAGUUGUAUUCAUUCAGGUAUCCAUCAUUGGACAAAGAGAUACUAAGCUACCUCUCCAUGCCAGGCACUCUGUUAACGACUGUAGAUACUGAAGUGAGCAAAGUAGACAAAAAUCUCUGCCCUUAUGGAGCUGACAUUCUAGUAUGUAUGUGGAAGUGGGGCCACGGGGAGGUGGGGAGAUAAGUUACUCUGAGGAAGCAAAGUAAAUUAAAAAGUAAUUAAUAAAUAGAAGGUAAGAAAUUCUUUGGAGAAAACUUAAGCAGUAAUGAGGACAGGGAAUGGAGGUGGGUAAGGAAAGAUCUCACUGAUAAGGUGAUACCUAUCCUAAAAUUAUGUCUAAAAGAUUAUAGCUACAAAAAAAGAAGAAAAACUGAAUGGAAACACAUAAAGUGCAAUUUGUGGUUAUCUUUAGAAGAUAUUUGCGGCAAUUUUCUGUACUGUGUUCUGCAUAUGUGUGCUUGUGUGUUUUUAAUUAGUUGGAAAUUUUGACAAUGUACUCUGGCAUCUUUAUUUCUUAAAAGACCCCACCAAGCAAUUCUGAGGCACAGUAAAAUAUAAAAUUGUUUUCUUCGCACCUUACAUUUUAAGUUCUAUGCUCAAAAAGAUUCUAGUAGUUCUGGGCAUGCUGAGUUCAACAUUUUAAGUUAUACGUAUUUUUUAAUUGCCCUGCAAUUCCCCUCAAUUGGGUUACUGAAGAAUUAUAUGUAAAUAUCUCAUAGUGCAUUGUGAGAAAUGAGUUAUGUAAUCCAUGUAAAGAGGUUAGCAUCAGGCUCAAUAAAUGUUUAGCUGCCAUCAGUGUUAUUAUUGUUAGAGGCUUAGUGGAGAACUUGCUGUUUGAUCUGGACCUUGAAAAAGAAAUGGGUAAAGGAUGUGGAUAAAGGUCAGAGGGUGGAUUAUCCAGGCAGGAAAAAUACAUUGGCAAAAACAUGAGGAAUGACCUCAUUGUGAGCAAAGGGAAGUCUCCCUUUCAUUCAGUAGACCUUUACUGAGCUAUUGGACCACAAGCUCCGGGAGUUCUGAGGCUAUGUCCACCCCGUUCACUGCUUUAUCCCAGCACUUAGUACAGCACGUUACACAAAAAGAGCUGUAAAUAUUUGUUGACUGUUCAAAGUAUUUUAACCACCACUAAAAGCAUGUUCAUUUUAGAUGUGUCCUCAGGCAGCUUCUGUGACAUCAGUUGUCAUUUUAAUAAAGAGCUAACCAGAGCCACUCUAAGAAAAUGAGUUCACCAAGAUAUAUUCAAGCUACAAUAAAAUGUAAUAAUUUUUGGAUUUGUAUGCAAUAACAACUCAUUCAUCUAGUAUGGUUAGGAAAUUAGUAACUUAUUUAUAAUGGAAACAUCCCUUUAAUGCUAAAGGUUUUCAAUUCUAUUUUAACCAAGUUGGAUGGAAAUAUUUUUAAUUUGGGGGGUUUUUUGUUUUGUUUGUUUUAACACAGGGUCUCGUUCUGUCACCCAGGCUGGAGUGCAGUGGCGUGAUCAUGGCUCACUGCAGACUCAACCUCCUGGGCUCAGGCAAUCCUCCCACCUCAAGCCUCCCGAGCAGCAGGGAUUACAGGCACACACCACCAUGCCCAGCUAAAUGUUUGUAUUUUUGUACAGAUGGGGUUUCACUAUGUUGUCUAAGCUGGUUUCGUAAUGGUGGGCUCAAGUGAUCCUCCUGCCUCUGCCUCCCAAAGUGCUGGGAUUACAGGUGUUAGCCACCAUGCCUGGCCUAUUUUUAAUUUUUAUUACAAAUAUCUGUGGCUUUUUGAACACUGCAUAUAGAACAAAAUUGAUCCCUUUAAUGAAUCUGUGUCAGUUAUGAAACACAAGCUGUGAGCAGCCAAAGACCACCUUUGACUAACAUAUUUUAUUAGAAUGUUUUAAAGUAGUCUUCCAAAUUAAAAGAAAAUUGGACAACCAGUCUUGAAAAGGUCAGGGACCAUGCAGCUCCAGGGUUCUACGUGGAAGGGAAGAAUUCAGGAUACCACCAUAAGGAUGAGCCAGCCCAGUAGCUUUGUGUUGGCUCUGCUCAACAUCCAAAUUCCUGCAAAAAGGUGACUGACUUGUCUUGGACCAUAAGCUCAGCCUUGUUCAGGAGAUGGGAAAGCUCCUUACAUGAUGGUUCCUUUGGAACAGAAUACAAAUUGGGAAGGGUAAUUUUCUGAAGAAAAAUCAUAGUGCUGCCUCCAGAGGAGAGCAGAAUGAAUGCUGAGCAUGUGAAAACACGGAAGUCCAACACAAUAAUGAAUAAUCAUUUUGAACAUCAAUUAUAGUAUUAACUUGUAAUUCAGUAAUGUUCUUGAAAACUGAUGUUUAAGGCUAUCUUUCCCCUUUAAUUAGUGGUCUCAGGCUUCUUUACUUUUUGAGUUUCUAAUUUUUAUAAUUCUCUUGUCUUUUUUUUUUUCACCUUUCAAAAUGAUUAUUUUCUUGCUACUUUUUUUUUUUUUUUUUUUUUUUGAGAUGGAGUCUCGCACUGUCGCCCAGACUGGAGUACAAUGGUGCGAUCUCGGCUCAGUUCAACCUCCACCUCCCAGGUUCAAGCAAUUCUCCUGCCUCAGCCUCCCAAGUAGCUGGGAUUACAGGUGCACGCCACUACGCCUGUCUAAUUUUUUGUAUUUUUAAUAGAGACAGGGUUUCACUAUGUUGGUCAGGCUGGUCUCAAACUCCUGACCUCGUGAUCUGCCCGCCUCGGCCUCCCAAAGUGCUGGGAUUACAGGCAUGAGCCACCGCACCUGGCCUUUUCUUGCUACUUUCAAUUUACCCACUUUGGGCAGUCUCCAUCCACUUUCUUCCUCUAUUUGGCUGUGGACUGGGAAAUGAAAUAAACAAGCUUGUUAGAUGUGUGUAUGUAAUGGGACUGUGAAUAAGUAUGAGUCUAUGAGUAAAGCACAUGAUAAAUGCAUAGACUUGGUGUCAUUUACAUUGACUGCUCAAAGACUUCUCUUGCUAAUGUUUAGUUGUUUAGCUACUUAGAUAGUGACCAGAUGAGGAAUUUCUCUGUAAAUGAUAUGCUACCAAUUAUAAGAACACAUGUCCUUUUUAUAAUUGCUUUAAAUUCAUUUUCACCAUAUCAUUGAAAGGAAGGAGAGGGCAAAUAUUUGCUCAGUUUUAAAAGUAUGAAAAAUGGAGCCACAGAGGGCUUAAGUACACUGGGGAAAGGCUAGUGCUGAGCCCCAGGUGUCCUGGUUUCCAUUUUAGAAGUUAGUUAAUAGAUUCAGCUAUGUCAAUAUCAGGAGAUGUACAGAAUCAUAGGUCAAAGACAGCUUAAAACUUCAGAGAUCACUAGGGGAUACAACAAGUGUAUGAUAUAGACAGAAAAGCACAGGGAAAAUUACAUAUGUGACUGUAAAACACACAUACGAAGCUGUUAACAGCACCCACAGAUGGGAACAAACAUUGAUUUCCCUGUUCAAUCACUUUUAGCAACAACUUGGAUAAAGAUACUGAAAAUAUGUUUAACAAUUGCAGGUGACACAAAAUUGAAAAAGAUUACCAGUAUAUUUAAUGAGAGAACCAAGAUCCUGGCUGAAACUACUGGCUAAAAUGUAAUAUUGAUUAGACAACAUGAAUUUUUCAAUUUCUUAUAAUUAUAGCUAACAUUCUAAUUUACAAACAUGAUGUAGGGGAAGUCUUACUUGACAACAAUCAUACGGGUUUUGGUUUGCUGCAAAUAAAGAAAUAAUAAUACCAUUUAUUGAAGAUAGUGCCAGCAUCAUACUAAGUGCUUUAUAUGUACUAUGUCAAGUCUCACAAUUCUAAAACAUAGGCAUCAUCAUCAUCCCCACAUUGUAAGUGAGAAACUGAUAAUUUGAGAAGUUAGAUAAAAUGCCCCGAAUCUGACAGCUAAUGAAUGUUGAAACCAGGUGUCAAAUCUACCUAAAUCCAUGUCUUAACCAAUAUGCUGCUGUUAUUAUGUAAAAAUAAAUGCCAUUAUUAAAAGAUUCAAGGAAGUCUCUUUGUACUACUCAUUUUAAUUGAAGUAUGUGAUUGUCA
rnacentral:lncRNA from 10 species